UACGAAGGGGGCUAGCGUUGCUCGGAAUUACUGGGCGUAAGCGUGCGCAGGCGGUCUGUUAAGACCGAUGUGAAAUCCCCGGGCUUAACCUGGGAACUGCAUUGGUGACUGGCAGGCUUUGAGUGUGGCAGAGGGAGGUAGAAUUCCACGUGUAGCAGUGAAAUGCGUAGAGAUGUGGAGGAAUACCGAUGGCGAAGGCAGCCUCCUGGGCCAACACUGACGCUCAUGCACGAAAGCGUGGGGAGCAAACAGG
rnacentral:rRNA from 1 species